rnacentral:rRNA from 1 species
UGGGGAAUAUUGCACAAUGGGCGAAAGCCUGAUGCAGCGACGCCGCGUGAGGGAUGACGGCCUUCGGGUUGUAAACCUCUUUCAGUAUGGACGAAGCGCAAGUGACGGUACCUGCAGAAGAAGCACCGGCUAACUACGUGCCAGCAGCCGCGGUAAUACGUAGGGUGCGAGCGUUGUCCGGAAUUACUGGGCGUAAAGAGCUCGUAGGCGGUUUGUCACGUCGUCUGUGAAAUCCUAGGGCUUAACCCUGGACGUGCAGGCGAUACGGGCUGACUUGAGUACUACAGGGGAGACUGGAAUUUCUGGUGUAGCGGUGGAAUGCACAGAUAUCAGGAAGAACACCGAUGGCGAAGGCAGGUCUCUGGGUAGUAACUGACGCUGAGGAGCGAAAGCAUGGGUAGCGAACAGG